rnacentral:rRNA from 1 species
AAAUUGAAGAGUUUGAUCAUGGCUCAGAUUGAACGCUGGCGGCAGGCCUAACACAUGCAAGUCGAACGGUAACAGGAAGCAGCUUGCUGCUUUGCUGACGAGUGGCGGACGGGUGAGUAAUGUCUGGGAAACUGCCUGAUGGAGGGGGAUAACUACUGGAAACGGUGGCUAAUACCGCAUAACGUCGCAAGACCAAAGAGGGGGACCUUCGGGCCUCUUGCCAUCAGAUGUGCCCAGAUGGGAUUAGCUUGUUGGUGAGGUAACGGCUCACCAAGGCGACGAUCCCUAGCUGGUCUGAGAGGAUGACCAGCCACACUGGAACUGAGACACGGUCCAGACUCCUACGGGAGGCAGCAGUGGGGAAUAUUGCACAAUGGGCGCAAGCCUGAUGCAGCCAUGCCGCGUGUAUGAAGAAGGCCUUCGGGUUGUAAAGUACUUUCAGCGGGGAGGAAGGUGUUGUCGUUAAUAACC